GUAUCAAAAACCAAAGAAACUGUCAAACGCCGAAUAUUCUAGAUUAAGAAAGAUUCAAAAGACUAAUGAAUUACAAAUUAGUUAAUCCGUUGAUCUUUAAUUUGCCAAUUUUCUGAGAUUAAAAUUGUGUUACAGUUAUCGGACAAAGUCGGAUUCACCAAGAAACUUCAAAAAAUUUUAAUUACUUCAACAUUGUUCAACAGAAUUUCAAGCGAUUAAUCAUCCAUUUGUGGUCAGUGCAAAGCUAAAAGAAAUACAUUGAAAAAGAAAUUACUUUUGCUUAUUCGAAAUUGAUUAUUUCUUUAAUUAACUUGGAGGUGUAAUUGGUGAAGUAAUGAUAUUGAUUCAGCAGUAUUCUUGCAUUAAUUAAUCAUCAUCAACUCUCAAUUGGAAACUGAUUCACUCUGACAUCAACUUGAUGACAUGUUUAGUUAAGUAAUUUGUCUUUGCUUAACUACAUUUUGCUGUUAUUAUCU